rnacentral:tRNA from 1 species
AUCCACUUAACUCAGUGGUUAGAGUUUCACUUUCAUACAGAAAAAAUCAUUAGUUUAAAUCCAAUAAUAGGUA